AUGUUUCGAUCAUUUCUAGUUUAGUAGUACUCAUGUAUGUUCACUAUCUUGCUCUUCAAAAGAUUGUACCCUUUCAAUUUAUUGAAUACUAUGAUAUCCUGCUACUUGUAGUAAUUUCUUCUCUUUUUUCCAGUUUUAUCUCUGUUUACCCUCAAAAUCCGAUAACAAUUGAAUUUGUAAGUGAUUUUAAGGAUACGUGGACUAACUUGACACAAAACGAUAAAUUAGGUUGCAAUUAAAAUAAAUAAUGAUAAAGUAAAUACAAACCACACGAAUUGAAUGAUCUUAGCCUUGGGAGGUUAAUCACCCUAGAAUUAGGUACGCUCCGAUCGGUGCCAGGAUGCCAAAGAACAAGAGCUUAAAAUAAUAAUGGUAUAUAGCUUUGGAAUGCGUGUUACAAUGUAUCUAAUGAAUUAUCAAACCCCCUUUUAUAUAGUAGAUGAGUCCUACUUUAGGUAAAAUUCUAUAAAAGAUAAAAAAUCUCUUGAUUUGAUGAUUGUCGGUGCCUUGUUGAUACGUGUCGAGAUUUCCGCCGUAAUAUCCGACCGGUCACAGAUAUUUCGAUCUUCUAUUGGUUAUGCCAACAACGUUUCUUCGAGCUCGAUCGGGGCUAAGGUCGACUCCGUGAUUACGGACUCAAUGUUCUCGAAGGCGGGCGUUAUGACCCCGGGUUCUAGCUCGGUGGGACUCGGGGUCGAUCUUCAGUCUUUGGUUGUCAUGUUCCUAACCUGCCAUGUUGUUGGAGAGCUCGAUUUCGACCGUACAUAGAUAGUCUCCUCAUUUUUCGAAGAGUAGAUGACGAGAAAUGACAUGAGCUUCCGAUUCUUUCUUUGAUAUCACCCGACAGAAAUGACAAAAACAUCAAAAUGUCUCGUCUGUCAAGUCUUAAUGGCAUUAAACGCUUGUCAGUUGCUGGUCGGCCACUCCUAGAUGUGAAUCGUCGUUGGAAAACUAUAAAUACCCCCUCAUUUGUUCAUCCAAACUUUACAUUCAAACCUUCUGCCCUCGUUCCUAAGAAAUUUCAAUACUUCCAAGUACUUACAUUCUUGUUACUUUGAGAUUUUUUAUAAGAACUCUCAUUCGAAUUUUUCUCAAACCACUGAGUGUACUCUUUUAACUUCCUUUUUUUCCUUAUUUCCUCUCUAUAAAGAAAUGGCAAAAACUUCCAAAACCGUUCCCCAAAAAGAAAAUCCUUCUACCUCGCGGCCGGCUACCGAAGAGACCAUUUCAUGAACUACUGUCGAGGAGCCAGCACUGGAACCUCCUCUAAAAAAGUUCAUCCCGGGGGGGUGCCCGGUAAAUGCUGAUUUUAAAGUCGAAAAGCCUUCCUCCGUACCAAGCUGGUGUGAGGAGGUCUCGAGGUACAUCUACUCGAUCACCGAGGAUAUUCUAUCCGAAGUCAAGAAGGAUUGCAACUGGGCCGACAAGCAUGUGGUGGUUCCCGAACCUGACGAAGUUAUCACCACCCACGUCGAGGGAUUCUUAAGUGUUUAUACUUAUCCCUUCACGUUGGGCCCCUUGAACCCGGUUAUUGUCGAUUUCUGCAAAAGAUACGAGGUAAUCCUUGGUCAAAUUCACCAUUCUUUCUGGAGGAUCAUAAUCCUCCUCCGUUUCUUUGUAAGCAAGAUCAAAGGGUGCCCUUUCACGAUCGAUCACCUCAUGCGCUUAUACAGUCCCCGACUCUAUCGGGGGGACUGAUCAAGCUCGCCCGUUCGGCGAGUAAGGCUGCAUUCUCGAGUAUCAAUAAAGAUAGGGAUCGAGGUUGGCUAGGUCGUUUCGUCCUAGUGAGGACCUCGGACUAGAUCCCGAUCGAGCACAUGUCAUUCCAUGAGAAGUGGAACAUGAAACGUAAGUAUAUGAUUUUGCUUCCAAGGUUUUAUUUAUCGCCCUUUUUCUUCCUUCUUAUCGGUGUUCUGUGAUGGUGCAGUUGUUGCUCGGAUCCCAAACGCAGUUCCUCGACUCAAGGAGUGGGUCGAGGGUAUCGUAUCGCAAAGGCCUUAUUCCGAGCGCUCGUGGCACAAGCUUUCAAAGGGCCGGUGGGAGGCUCGUUCGCACGGUGAGAUCUAUUUCAUAAGUGAUACUUGAUUUUCCCUUUGCAUGAUUAAGUCCUUACUUGUUUUAUUUACCUUUGCAGGUUUACCCAAGAAUGUCCAAAUGAGGCCCCCAUCCGGUAGUGAUGAUUUUCCCACUGAGUCCCCUGCACCGAAACAGGGUGAAGAGAAAAAGAGAAAAAGGGCUCAGAGUUCUCCGAGCUCGGAGAAAAAGAAACCAAAGAGGAGGCUUAUCCGCAAGCCAAAAGAAACCUCCCGAAUACUUGAUUCGGAAUCCCUCUACCAGCUCAGUCAUGAGUCUGAAGAGGAGGAAAUUUUAGUGGCCCGGGAGCCAUCAGUCCCCGAAGAAUGGGCAUCAACCAGGGGAGGGGGGCAAUAGAGGCCAAUCGUUCCCAAACUCAAGAGGUCGAUGCAUUAGUGAGGGUCAAGAACCCUCAAGACGCCAGUUCUGCUCCACCCGGUGUCAUCGAUAUAACGGGAUUGCCUUCAUUCACGGACUCAAUGUUCGGUGAAUCUCAAGCAGCAAAGGAGCGUUCAAAUGAGGGGGUCCAAGGAGCGAACGAUCCCCCCCAAAGAUUUUUUGAUGGCGUGGAUCUCUAUUACCACAAAGGAUGUCACUGGUUUGGGUGAUUUGGAAGUACCAAGAAGAAGUCCACCCUCGGGGAUAGGUGGAUCUAGCUCGAGCCCGAAAUUUGUCAACCGAUUCCCUACCCCGAGUGUCGAUCCCGGUCGGAAGCGGUCGAUCAUUAUCUCUAUUCCGGAGGACGCCCGGGUCCUUUCCCUGCCUGUUGGGGUAGCUAGUUACCUCUGAUGCCUGGUGACUGAAGAAGAUCAGUCAAAGAUAAAUGAGGUGGAAUCUCCAUGCUUGUUCAACGAAGCACAACAAGCAUUGAAUCGGGUAAGGUGUUACCAAACCUUUUCAUUUUCCAUCUUUGGUUACUUAAUAAACCUAAUAUUUUUCCUUGUAUCUGCAGGCCUCGGUGCUUCACCGUGAGACCUUCCUCCGAUAUCGAGAAGAGUUGAGUCUCCUCGAGGCCGAAGCCAAAGAGCUUACUGAGAAGAGAGAGAUAUACAAACUUCUUAGUGAGUAAUGUGAGGGGGAGGUUAAGAGCCUCCGAGCUGAGCUGGAGGUGGCUCAAAAGUAGCAUGCCGACUUGGUCGAGCAGGUAAAAAUAUUUGAGGUUAGUGAUGAAGAGCUAAGCUCGGUGACUAACGGCCGGAAUCUGCAGGUCCAACAAAACAUCGAUCAACUGCGAGCUGAGAUGGAUAUUGUCAAGGCCGAGACCGAUGAAUGGAGGGGCAGGAUGGAUCGUCUGGCCUUGGAAAAAGAGGUUGCUCGGGCGCAACUGACUUCGGCCGAGGUCCAGCUUCGAGAAGCAAAGGAAAAGGUCGAGGUGCAGGACAAAAAGGUUGAAGAGCUCUAGUCUCAGCUAAGUUCGGCUGUCUCUGAUCUAAAAGUUAUGGCCAAGGAACUAGAAACGGCCUAGUCAGCAGCCCCGGUGGUUAAAGCCAACGCCGACGAGAUGGUGGCCCAAUAUAAGGCCGAUGCCGAGGCAGCCCAGGACCGCUUGAAGGACAUUGUUGAUUAUCAGAAGCGACAGUCGUUAAGAGAGGCCCUCGAUGAGAUUCAUGCUUGGGGUUUCGAUCUAUAGGCCGAGAUUGAAGCCGCUAAGAGGCUCGAGGCCGAGGCCAAGAAGUUGGCCUACCGAAGAAGAAGAAGAAGAAGAAGAAGAAGAAGAAGAAGAAGAAGAAGAGGGCUCUGAUGGACCCGGAGGUGGAGAAGACCAGGCUAUUUAGAUGCCUUUAUUAAAACAUAUUUGCUUUUUUAUUUUUUUGUACUUGUGUACUUUUGUAUUUUUGUUAGGGCUAUUUGGCCUUUGUAAAGACUGUAUAUAAUAUACAAGGCUUUGCUUUUCCCUUCGACAGUUUAAGAAUUUCGCUUUCCUUUCCUUUAUUCAUUAUGUUUUGCAAAGAUCUAAAUGCCUUAGCAUAGAAUAGUUAAGUCAUGUUCGGAGGUUCGAACAAGCCUUACCUUAGACAUUAUUUUGUUUAAGGCAUCGUGGGGGUUCGGUAUGACCAUAAACGUUUUUCCCCAAAUUACUUAUGAUGUUUUAGAUUAUAAUUUGCCGAAGGUAGCCUUUAGAACCGGUUAUGAAAUUUUGAAGGCCUUGUUUUUUUUUAUGGUCCUCGGACGUCUCCAAGCCAUUUUAAUAUGGUCGUAGCCUUUAGCUCGGGUGUUGCCCAGUGGGCUUGUUACCCCGAGUUUUUCGGGCUUUCCUAAGAUAACAGUUUCCGAAUGGGAAUGGCCAUAGCCUUUAAGGUUCGGGCGUUGCCUAAUAGGGCUUGUGCCCUCGGGCUUUCUCAGCCCGAGUCGUCCGAGUUUAUUUUUGGACGAUAGUCCCCGAUUGGGAGUGAUCAUUUGAACUUGGGUAAAGGUGGCCCUUGGGCUCAAUACCUUUAAGGGAUCGGAUGUAGGAAAUUCCUUAAGAGGAAAAAAGAAAAAAGAGAAAUUCUUUAAGGGACAAGAUAUUUACCCGCAAGGUAGAAAAUUCUUUUUAUUCUUGUGAGUAAUAAUUACACAUGUGUACAAGUUUUAUGCCAGGUCUCGAGCAGUGUAUGCCGGCACAGUUAAUUUGACUGUUUGGACCUUACAGUAAAUCAUAUCGAUCGAGUCGAGACCAUUCAAUCAUAAAGUUUCCUUCCUUGUUAAAGUCGUUAUCCGAGGGUGAUGCCCCCUAGUGUUCGGGGCCGAGCGUAGAGAGGCCUCGAAUACUGUUGUCAUGAUUUUCGAUACCGAUUCGUAACCGGGCUUCAAUUCUAAGUUGGCACGAUUUAUUGUUGCCUCUUUAAAAACCUUGCUGGAAAACUCAUUUGGGAAAAAACCGGUUCAAGGGAAAAUGAGUGCAACGCGUGCUUUUAGGCCUAAAGAUUGUAUCGUUCUUUGAUGAUUGCCUGCAAGUGUUAGUUCGUAAUGUAAAUAAAUAAAAGGAAAUGAAUGGGAUCGUACCUUAACAGUAGUAUCGCUUCAAGUGAGUUAUGUUCUAGUUGUUCGGUAGUUUCUCACCGUUCAUUGUUCCGAGCUUGUAUGAUCCUUUACCGGUGAUCUCGAUAAUUUGAUAAGGUCCUUCCCAGUUCGGCCCGAGAUUUCCUUCGUUUGGGUUCCGGGUGUUUAGUAUGACCUUCCUUAAUACUAAUUCCCCGACAUUGAAGUGUCGAAGGUUGGCCCUUCGAUUGUAAUAUCUCUCGAUCCGCUGUUUUUGGGCAGCCAACCGGACAAGGGCUUCUUCGCGCCUUUCCUCUAAUAGAUCUAGGCUCGUGUUCAUAGCCUUGUCAUUUGAUUCCUUUGUUGUGUAUCGGAACCUGAGACGUGGUUCUCCGACUCGUAUUAGAGCUUCGGCACCAUAAACCAGUGAGAACAUGGUGGCCCCAAAACUGGACUUCGAGGUCGUACGGUAUGCCCAUAAGAUUUCGGGCAAGAUCCCCUUCCAUUUUCCUUUGGCGUCGGUCAAUCUCUUCUUAAGGUUUUGGAGUAUUGUUUUAUUGGUCGAUUCUACUUAUCCGUUCUCACUAGGGUGGUAGGGUGUUGAUAGGAUCCUUUUGAUCUUAUGAUCUUCGAGAAACUUGCUAACUUUUCUGCCGAUGAAUUGUUUCCCAUUGUCGCACACGAUCUCGACCGGCAUUCCAGACCGGCAUAUGAUGUGGUCCCAAAUGAAAUCGAUGACUUCCUUCUCCCUGAUCUUUUCGUAUGCCUGGACUUCUAUCCAUUUAGAAAAAUAGUUAGUCAUAAACAAUAUAAAUUGAGCCUUACCGGAUGCCCACGGAAGGGGUCCAACGAUAUCCAUCCCCACUUCAUGAACGACCAUGGUGACAAAACCGAAUGCAACAUCUCCCUGGGCUGGUGAAUCAUCAAAGUGUGUCUUUGAUAUUCAUCACUUUUUCGUACAAACUCCUUCGCGUCCUUUUCCAUAUCGAGCCAGUAGUAGCCGGCUGUGAUCACUUUUCGAACCAAUGAUUUGGCGCCUGAAUGAUUUCCACNNNNNNNNNNNNNNNNNNNNNNNNNAAACAUACUUGGUGUCCCCUGGUCCUAGGCAUAUCGCGAGUGGGCCAUCAAAUGUUCUUCUAAACAGGGUUCCCUCUUAGGACAGGCUAAACCGAGCUGCCUUUGUACAUAGGGCCCUCGAUUCUUUAGGAUCUGACGACAGUUUUCCGUCUUUAAGUAUUCUAUAUAUUUAUUUCUUCAGUCCCAAGUUAGGCUCGUUGAGAAUCUCGACAUGACCUUAUUCCACUACCAAUCUCAUAAGUUGUACUACUGCCCCCGAGUUGAACUCGUUGUCCUCUACCGAUCACCCUAGGUUAGCAAGGGCAUCAGCCUCACUUUUUUUAUCCCGAGGUACGUGUUGCACAAUCCAUUCUUUGAAUUGAUAUAAUGUUACCUGCAAUUUAUUCAGAUACCUUUGCAUUCGUUCUUCUCUAACCUCGAACGUCCCAUUAACUUAGUUUACCACAAGGAGGGAGUCGCACUUAGCUUCUAGACCUGCAAUCAUGGCCUCAUACUCGACCUCAUUGUUAGUCAAUUUCAUAGUCCUAAAAUAUUGUCUAACUACAUUGCUUGUUGGCGGCUUCAAUACGAUGCCAAGAUCGGACCCUUUUGCGUUUGAGGCGCCGUCCGUAAAGAGGGUCCAGAUCCCCGAGGAGGUUCUUGAGUUGAUUAAUAACUCUCUUUCGACCUCGGGUAUUAGGAUCAGCGUAAAUUCGGCCAUAAAGUCUGCCAAAAUUUGAGACUUAAAGAUAGUCCGGGGUCGAUAUUCAAUAUCGUACCCACUGAUUUCCACGACCCAUUUGGCCAACCGGCCCGAGAGCUCGGGCUUAUGCAUAAAAUUCCUCAAUGGGUAAGUAGUCACAACACAUAUGGGGUGACACUAGAAGUGUGGUUUUAGCUUUCUAGAGGCGUUUAGCAAAGCGAGCACCAGCUUUUCUAGGUGAGGAUACCUAGUUUCGGCCUCACUUAGGGUCCUGCUAACAUAGUAAAUUGGAAAUUUCAUACCUUGCUCUUCCCGGACCAGGACUCCACUUACCGCUAUCUCUGAUACUGCCAAUUACAAGUAUAGUUGUUCGUCUAUCUUCGGCGUGUGGAGCAGCGGUAGGCUCGAUAGAUACCGCUUGAGUUCCUCCAAGGCAUGUUGGCACUACGGGAUCCAUGAGAAGUUAUUCUUCUUCUUCAAUAGUGUGAAGAACCGGUGGCUCUUUUCGGAGGACCUCGAGAUGAAUCGCCCAAGGGCGGCUAUGCGCCCGGUUAAUCUUUGCACGACCUUCACAUUGUCCAUAACUGUGAUAUCUUCGAUGUCUUUGAUCUUGUCGGGGUUGAUCUGGAUUCCCCGAUUGGAUACCAUGAAUCCGAGGAAUUUACCUGACCCAACUCCAAACGCAUAUUUCUCCAGGUUCAUCUUCAUAUUGUAUUUCUUCAAUAUGCUGAAGGUUUCCUGUAAAUGUUUCAAAUGAUCCUCUGCUCGCAGGGACGUAACCAACAUAUCCUCAGUAUAAACCUCCAUUGAUUUUCCUAUUUGUUCUUCGAACAUCCGAUUUACUAGGCAUUGGUAAAUGGAACUGGUAUUUUUUAACUCGAAUAGCAUCACGUUAUAACAGUAGGUGUCGUAUUUAGUGAUGAAGGAGGUUUUUUCCUGGUCAGAUUCUCCUAAGAGAAGCUUUAGCCUGAGUCCAUCCGUAUUUGGUUGUACCUGGAGUAGGCAUCGAGAAAACUGAGGAUCUCGUGGUCGGCCGUGGCAUCGAUCAUGCGAUCGAUGUUGGGCAAAGGGAAAGAGUCCUUGGGACAUGCCUUAUUCAUAUACUUAUAGUCUACACACAUUCUUAAUUUAUUCCCUUUUUAAGGGACUACCACUACGUUCGCUAACAAAUCGGGGUAUUUAACCUCCUGAAUGGAACCUAUUUUAAGGAGUUUAGAUACCUCGUCCUUGAUGAAAGAAUGUUUGAUCUCGGACUGGGGUCUCCUUUUCUGCUUCAUCGGAUGGGAUUUCGAGGCUUAGCUUAUGAGUGGUUAUUUCUGGCGGGAUCUCUGUCAUGUCAAGGUGGGACAAAGCCAAACAAUCUAUGUUAGCUAUAAGAGACUGAAUGAUUUUUUUCCUGAGCUCGGGAUUUAACCCCGUGCCUAGGUAUACCUUUCGAUCGGGUAGGUGCUCGACCAAUAUGACAUGUUCCAGCUCCUCGAUCAUUGAUUUAGUUUCAUCGGAAUCAUAGGGGGCUAUAAAAGACAUAGGUACCCCGUAAUCAUAAUCAUCGUCUUCAUCAGUCCCUUGUUUCUCCGAUUGGGUCGGAGCUGGUGUCGGUAAUUGCUAUUUAGUUUCUGGCUUUGUGACCAAACUUGACCCAUUUGUCGUUGCAAGUGCGGAUAUCAGAAUUGUCUCUUCAACCGCAAACAUCUCCUUUGCGGUUGGCUGUUCUUCGAAGAUUGUUUUAAUUUCGCCUGGUGUUGGGAAUUUUAACAAUUGGUGCAUAGUUGAGGGUAAUGUCCUCAUGUUGUGGAUCCAUGGCCUUCCGAGCAAAGCGUUGUACCUCAUUUCCCCUUCGAUCACAUAAAACUUAGCUUCCUGGAUGGUCCCGACGGUGUUCACCGAUAACGUUAUAUCACCCUUAGUGGUUUCACAUGCCAUGUUGAAUCCGUUUAGAACUCGGACUGCAAGCACGAUUUGAUCUUGUAGACCGAGUUGCUCCAUGACCCUCGAUCGGAUGAUGUUGGUCGAUCUACCUGAAUCAAUUAGCACACGUUUAACCCGAAUUUUACUUACGAGUACAGAUAUUACCGUGUAUGAUUGUGGGGCUGCACGAUCCCUUCCGCAUCCUCGUCGUUGAAAGACAAGAUUCCUUUCGGUAUGUAAUCUCGAGUUCGUUUCUCCCUUAUGAUGGACACUUUGGUGCGUUUCAACAUCGGUCCCUGAGGGACAUUGACCCCACCAAUGAUCAUGUUAAUGAUGUGUUGAGGUUUUUCUUGUUCACUUUGUUUGUUAGAAUCCCUAUUCCUAAAAUGAUUCUUGGCUCGGUCGCUCAGGAAUUCUCGAAGAUGCCCGCUGUUGAAUAGUCAUCCUACUUCAUCUCUCAACUAUCGGCAAUCCUCCGUUCUGUGGCCGUGAGUGCCGUUAUAUUUAAACAUAUGGUUAGGAUCCCUUUGGGAUGGAUAAAAUUGUAGAGGUCGAGGCCAUUUGGUAUCUUUGAUGCGUCCAAUAACUGAUACAAUGACGCCAACAUCGACAUUAAAGUUGUAUUCUGAUAACCUCGGUGCUUCUUUAGGCCCGAUGGGCCUGUCGAAGCUAUUUUUGCUCAUGAGUCCCUGGUUGUUCUGACCUCGAUCACUUCACUUUUCAUUUCUCAUAGAGUUCCGCCCGGACCCACUGCUUCUUCGGUCUCCAUUAUACUGCUGGUACCGAUCCCUGUUUGGUCUCAGUUUACGAUCGAUGUCUCUCUUGACUCUGUCGAUGUUUCUGACGUGAUAAACAGACUCUGAAGGGGCUCUGAGUUUAUCAUCUUCCACUCUGAUCUUCGAUUGAUACCGGCUAUGCAAGUCGGCCCAAGUAAUAGCUGAAUAUUCUAUUAGGUUUUGUUUCAACUGCUGUGAAGCCACCGAGCUUCGAACGUUGAGCCCUUGGGUGAAAGCCUGAACGGCCCAAUCAUCAGCGACAUGUGGCGGGUUCAUUCGUUCCAUUUGAAACCGGGACACGAACUCUUUGAACAUCUCGUUAUCCUUCUGUUUUCCUUUGAAAAGGUCUGAUUUUCUAGUUUCGGCCUUGAUGGCUCUGGCGUGUGCUUUCACGAAAGAAUCCGAAAGCAUAGCAAAUGAAUCAAUAGAAUUAGGAGGUAAGUUGUGAUACCAUAUCAUAACCCCUUUUGACAAGGUCUCUCCGAACUUCUUCAAUAGGACAGACUCGAUCUCAUCAUCCUCCAAGUCGUUCCCUUUGAUGGCACAUGUGUAAGAGGUUACAUGCUCAUUUGGGUCGGUUGUUUCGUUAUACUUGGCAAUCUCGGGAAUGCGGUAUUUCUUAGGGAUCGGCUUCGGAGCCGCGCUCGGAGGAAAAGGUUUUUGCACGAACUUCUUGGAAUCCAGGCCUUUCAAUAUUGGCGGUGCUCCUGGGAUCUGGUCUAUCCUGGAAUUGUAGGUUUCCACCUUUUUGUCAUUAGUUUCGAUUUUCUUCUCCCCCGAUUCUAUCCGUUUUGUCAGCUCUUCGAGCAUCUUUAUGAUCUCUGGAUUAGCCCCCGAUUCAUAUUCAUUUGACCUUUCUGCGACCGGUUCAUCCCUAUGGGUGACUUCCCGGGGUGGAUCGGGUUAAAAAAUGCCACAAUUAUGAGUGCUACGAGCAAUAGAGGCGAUUUUUUAAAACCCUCACGACGAUCCCCACAAAUUGAAAUUUUAAUUUGUGGAGGUUUUCAGAGACAAUUAAUGCGAUUUAUAACCUCCAAAAAAUAAUACCAAUAUUUUAAAAAAUAUUACUUGUGGGGGUUUAUAACCCCCUUAAUAUGAUCUCGCUGUUUAAAAAAAAUAAUGAAAUAUGAAAUUAAAUAAAUAAUUUUAUUGAAUAACUUAUAACAUAAAUCAAACUCCAUUACAAAUAACCAUAAUAACAAUUAACAAACAUCAAAUGCUCAAAUCCUUAUAAAACUAAACUAAUACUAACUCAUGCAAGGUAACUCAAAAUAUUUAUCAUUCGGAAUGGAAACUUAUAGUACUAUGUAUUUGCUUGGUGAUUUGUAUUGUUGUCACCCGAUAAUUCUUUUGAUGUCACCCGAUGAUCUUCUUACUCCACAAUUAAAGUAGACCCUCACCAUAAAGUUGAAAUAAUAAAAUAUAAAUAUUUUAUGAGAAAACUUGAAGGCCCUACUAUUUCUCUGAUGAUAUGUCAAUCAAAGUAGACUCCAAAAUGUUCAAAUUUAGUUACAGAGAAAAGGAAAAGUACUGGUUACAUAAAAAAGAAACAAAAUAGAAAUUUUCUUGCAGAUAAAUCUGCCACUUGAUUUAAAAAGGGCAUUAUGCUAAAGUUGUUAAAAAGUCACAUGGCAAGAGCUUAAUUACAUAUUUAUUUCCUCGUGUAUCAUCACAAAACACAGUUGCACAAACACCACUGCCUUUCUAGCUUUAAAAAAAAUAUUACUGCCAAAAUAUAGUUAAACUCAAUUGGCUAACACUUGAAUUAAAUUAAAGUAUUAUAAGUUGGUAAUCCAGCACAAUGACUAACAAAGUAAAACUUGCAUUAAAAUCAAAGCUAACAGCAUCUCGGAAAUUAAAGUAGAAGAAAAUAAUAUACUAACAAAAUAGGAUUGGUAAACUAAUAAUUAGUUAAACAAAAUCAAACCAAUGCCAAAACCAUUUAAAGUUAACAUCAAACAAAGUGAAGUCAAUUUUAACAAUGGGACUUUGACAACAAAAUAUGGUUAAACUAAUUAUGUAAUUUGUACCUGUGCAUCAAUUAAUAUGUUGGAAAUGAAGAUAAAUAAAUGUUAUACAAAUAAAUGUGGCAUUUUUCAACCUCAUAAGUCUACCCAUUCAGAGCACUUUGUGCCAGAACAAUUAUGCACUCUGAAUGGAGCUCAGCAGAGGACUAAAUAUUCAAACAUGUAGAUGUCAAUGAUUCAACAUCAAUCCUACAAAACCAGUACACGUUAAAGAAUCAAAGAGGUGAACUUCUUCAAUGUCAAAAUCAAAUUGACGAUUAUAAAUUUCUUAAGAAGCUACAAUUACAUAAUACAUGUAAGAGACAAACUACUGAUCAAAAACCUUAAGCAGUCCUUUUAACUUACAUGCUGGAGCACAGUUUCUUCCAACCUUACUCUGGAAUUUAUGAUAGACACCGUUAUUUUUAUGGAUUAUUUCACUAUGUUUCAAACUUUGCUUCCGCUUUUGUUUCCUUGAUUAUUAGUAAUUUAAAAAUGGUUUAAAAAUUGGUUAACAUUAUUCUAACAUUGGCUUGCCUAGCAAGUGAAAUGUUAGGCGCCAUCACGGUCCGAAGGAAGAAAUUUCGGAUCGUAACAAACUCUCGAAACGACCGGUCGGAUCGUUACACUUGUUUAGCACUUGUAACGUUACAAUUGAAUUGUGACAUCUUUAUUUCUAAUUUGGUCCCUUACCAUGGGCAUGGCUGGCUAUGGUUGCAUAUAUAACAGAGACUGUCAUUUUUUUUGGGUACUAUUUUGCAUAACUACAGAGUAUUGAAAUAUUAUGAAUCCAAAAGAAGCAUUUACAUUGAGCUGAUGUCUACUAGCAUGAGAUUGAGGGAUAAUUGAUUUUGUUGUAGUAUUUGUCACACCCUGUUUUUUCGAAGAUAAGAAAUUUUUUUAAUUAAAGUGACAUUAUUCGAAAUGAGUUUAUUUAUUUAAUUAUAGUCGCCACUUGGAAUAUUUAUUAUGGUGUCCCAAGUCAUCGGUUUGUUUUAAAAUCCCAAAUCGCGGAAAUUGACUCUGUUUUAAAAUCCGCGAAACACAGAAGAUCGGGUAAGGAAUUAUGUUAAAUCGGGGGAAGGUAUUAGGCAUUUUCUGAUUCCGUGAUAUUAGUACGGUCACUUUAAUCAUACCUGACUUAAUUAAUUAUUUAAAUACAUAUUUUUAGAACCUAUGUGUAUUUUACCUUUUACCGCUUUUAAUUAUGGCGUUAUGGACUUAUCUUUGAAACAGAUCACAUGUGCGUAAACCUGUUUUAUUUAGUGCACUAAAAUCAUGUCACGCAUACGUGUCCACAAUUAAUCGCGCUUUAUUAAUUAUUAAGAUUGUUUUUGGCCAAAGUCGUGCGAACACGUACUUUGAUUUAUUUUUGGAAUCAUAAUUAUAUCACGCGAACAUGUACAUUAUCAUGAUGAUAUAUUAGAACGCGCCUAAAGCAUCCUACCAAUAUUCAUAAGUUAAUAUUCUAAACUAACUUUGAGAUUAUUUGUGAAGUGGAAUUAUGGAAAAAGCAUGGUGGACCUGCAUAGGUAGUUUUAGGUUUGACAGAAGACUCAUCGUGAAUCACUACUCUAUUGAAGAGGACGAACACCCCACUGUAAUUCAAAUAUAAAUUCUGGUGAUUUGGUUAAUUAAAGGCAAGCAAGGAUAAUUGAUUAAACUUAGCAACGAUAUUGUAACUAAAUCAAGGCAAACUCAGUUUUAUGAACUAAGCCCAAAUUGAGCCUUCAUCACAAUUAGUUGGGCCUAGCCAUAUGAGCCCAGCCAAGUUCCAGGCGCAGCUCUUAUGGUUUUCGAAUCUGAAGACCCCUGAAAUGGGCCAGCCCAAUUCCAAGCUCACUACAAGCCUUAAACAUAGCCAUUUUCGGAAUUGGGCUCCGAAUGAGGCCCAAAUGACAAAGGAGAGAAGUUACGUCCUCAUAGGCUCACACGAAUAAGAGGAAUAUAUCAAUUACACAAAAAGUUCAACCAAUUUGAAAAAAACAUAAUAUGAGCAGCAUUUGUUGACAUAUUGAUUAGUUACACUCAUUAAUGAACGGAUUUAUUACAAAUGAAAUAAAACAAUAAGGAAAGAAUAAUAUUCAAGGAAAAGAGAGAGGUAAUUCUUAUUGAAUUUCGGAUCAUUUACGAUGGGGUAAAGCCCCUCUAUUUAUAGAGGGAAAAAUGACUUAGCCACACAGUAACAAACUCUCUAAAAGAUAGACAUUCACUCUAAGUACAAUUCUAUUCAUAACACUCCCCCUUGAAUGUCUACUUAAUAGGUAAUGUGCCUUGUUAAAACCUUAACUAAUGGGCAAAAAAUCUAGUAAAGUAAAAAGAGUACACGUAUUUAAUAAUACGUCUUUUGGUUACCUCGUUAAAAACCUUGAAAGAAAAACCCAAUGGGACAAAACCUUGUAAGAAAAAAAGAGUACAACGCGUAUUAACUCCCCCUGAUGAGAGCAUCAAUUCACAUCUUUAAGCCGACAAAACCUUGUAAGAAAAAAAGAGUACAACGCGUAUUAACUCCCCCUGAUGAGAGCAUCAAUUCACAUCUUUAAGCCUUCACAUCCCGAUCUUGUACACUAGCUUCUUGAAGGUUGAUGUCGGUAGAGAUUUGGUGAACAAAUCAGUCAUAUUAUCACUUGAACGAAUAUGUUGCACAUUGAUAUCACCAUUAUUUUGAAGAUCAUGUGUGAAAAAUAACUUUGAUGAAAUGUGCAUUGUCGUAUCUCCUUUUAUGAAUCCUCCAUUCGGUUGGGCUAUGCAUGUUGCAUUGUCGUCAUACAAAAUUGUGGUUAGUUUAUCACAUUUGUCUCGAAUAAGAUGUAUUAUUGACCUCAACCGCACACAUUCUCGACUUGCUUCAUGAAUAUCAAUUAUCUCAGCAUGAUUAGAUGAAGUAGCCACGAUUGAUUGCUUAGUCGAUCGCCAAGAUAUGGCAGUGCCUUCACAGGUAAACACAUAGCUUGUUUGAGAUCGAGCCUUGUGUGAGUCGGAUAAAUACCCAGCAUCGGAAUAAACAACAAGAUCGGGACUGAAAUUAUUGCUAUAAAAUAAUCUCAUAUCAGUAGUUCCUUUUUGAUACUGCAGUAUGUGUUUGAUUCCACUCCAAUGUCUCCUUGUAGAAGCAGAGCUAUAUCUUGCUAAGACAUUAACUGAAAAAGUUAUGUCACGUCGUGUAGUAUUAGCAAGAUACAUUAGUGCACCAAUUGCACUAAGAUAUAGUACUUCAAGACCAAGUAGCUCUUCAUUCUUUACUUGAGGUCGGAACGGAUCCUUAUUCACAUCAAGUGAUCGAACCACCAUCUGAGUACUUAAUGAAUAUGCUUCAUCCAUGUAAAACCGUUUUAAUACCUUUUCUGUGUAGGCAGAUUGAUGAACAAAAAUUCUAUUUGCCAAAUGUUCAAUUUUCAAACCGAGACAUAAUUUUGUCUUUCCGAAAUCUUUCAUUUCGAAUUCCUUCUUUAAAUAAUCAAUUGCCUUUUGGAGUUCUAUAGGAAUUCCAAUAAGGUUUAUGUCAUCAACAUAUACGGCAAGUACAACAAAUUCUGAUGUUAUUUUCUUUAUAAAAACACAUGGGCAAAUGGCAUCAUUUAUAUAACCUUCCUUUAAUAAAUAAUCACUAAGGCUGUUAUACCACAUUCUUCCUGAUUGAUUUAGAGACCAUACAAAGAUCUUUGUAAUUUUAUUGAAAAUAUUUCCCGGGACUUUGAAUUAUAUGCAUCGGGAAUUUUAAAUCCUUCGAAAAUUUUCAUGUAUAUCUCAUUAUCGAGUGAGCCGUAAAGGUAGGUUGUAACCACAUCCAUUAAUUGCAUGUCAAGCUAUUCAUGGACAUCAAAACUAAUGAGAUAACAGAACGUUAUAACAUCCAUAACAAGAGAAUACGUCUUUUCAUAAUCGACAUAAGGCCUUUGUGAAAAUCCUUGUGCAACAAGGCGUACCUUAUAUCUUUGUACCUCAUUUUCUCAUUUCUUUUACGUAAAAGACUCAUUUAUAGCCAACGGGUUUAACACCAUUAGGCGUUUGGAAUACAGGCUCAAAAACUUCACGUUUCACAAGUGAAUCUAACUCGGAUUGGAUUACUUCUUGUCAUUUUGGCCAAUCACGUCUUUGUCGACAUUCUUCAACAGAUUGAGGUUCAAGAUCCUCACUAUCUUACAUAAUGCUAGAUGCAACAUUGUAUGCAAAGACAUAAUCCACCACUAUAUCCCAUUGUUUCAAAUUUGUCUCAAUAUCGAUUGGAUUUAAUGGUAGUUUCUUAUUUUCUUGAGUAUCAUGCUCAGUGAUUUUCUCAUGAAUCUCAGGAUUGGUUAAAUCGUGGAUUUCUUCAUGAAACUCUUUCAUAGUGCCAUAAUGAUCAUUUGUUUUCCUUUUCCUAGGAUUUCGAUCCUUAGAACCCAAUGGUCUAUCACAUUUUAGGCGUGCUUUUGACUCGUUAGCUAUGACACUAGAAGAUUGUCCAACGGGAACAUCAAUACAGAUUGGAACAUUCUUUGCAGGAAUAUGUGAUUUUUUUAUCCUUUUCAGAUCCGUAAAUGCGCCUGAAAUUUGAUUUGAUAUUUUCUGUAAAUGGAUAAUCUUUUGCACCUCUUUUUACAAAUAGAGGCGUGUGGAUCAAGAUGAGAUAAUGAUGGAUUUUUUCAUGAAAUUUCCCAUUUGAUUUCACCAAUUUCUCCCCCUAAUUUUGGAGAAAAUACCUCAUCGAAUCGACAAUCUGCAGAUCGAGCAGUGAACAAAUCUCCCGUUAAUAUUUUGAGGUAGCGAAUAAUGGACGGCGAUUCAAAUCCAACAUAUAUUCCUAACCUUCUUUGGGGACCCAUUUUGGUGCGAUAUGGCGGGGCUACAGGCACAUAUACUGCGCAUCCAAAAAUUCGUAAAUUGGAUAUAUUAGGUUCAUGACCCAAAACUAAUUGCAACGGGGAAUAUUUAUGAUAAUUUGUCGGUCUGAGACGAAGCAUUACUGCAUGCAAAAUGGCAUGACCCCAACAGAAGUGGGUAACCUCGUUUUCACGAGUAACGGUCUUGCAAUCAAUUACAGAUGUUUAAUUAAAGACUCUGCAAGGCCAUUUUGAGUGUGAACGUGAGCUAUAGGAUGUUCCACGUUUAUCCCAAUUGAUAAGCAAUAAUCAUUAAAUACUUGGGAUAAAAAAUUAUCAGCAUUAUCAAGUCGAAUAGACUUAAUUGGAUUAUCGAAAAAUUGUGCCCGUAAUUGAAUUAUUUAUGCCAUUAAUUUUACAAAUGCGGGGUUGCGAGAUGAUAAUAGGCAUACAUGAGACCAUCUAGAAGACGCAUCUAUUAAGACCAUAAAAUAUCUAAACGACCCACUAGGUGGGUGAAUAGGUCCACAAAUAUUCUAAUCGAUAAUGUCAAAGUACAAAAGUAUUGGAAUUAGUAACCUUUUGAUUUACAAUAGAAUGUGCCUCAAUUGAACUUAUUCUUGUCCAAUACAGUCCACUAGACAAAGAUGGGAACUUCUCAAUAAUCCUUUUCUGGCUAGAGACAUUUUUGGUAACAAUGAGAUAUUCAAGGUUAUUCUCAUCUAUUGUCUCAAUAUGAUGUCCAUUUUGACGGAUAUCUUUAAAACUCAACAAGUCCUCUUGUACUUGGAGGAGAACAUUGCAUUAUUUAUGAUAAGCAUUGUUCCCUUAGGUAGAGUUAUAAUAGCUCUUUCAGAGCCUUCAAUUAAAUUACUACUACUAAAAAUUGUAGUAACAUCUGCCUUAUACAUACUUAAAUGAGAGAAAUAUUUCUUCUCUUUGAAUAUAGUAUGUGUCGUAUAUGAAUCAAUUAACUAAAUAUUUUUACAAUUAAAACUUGAUCCAAGUUUGCUUUGUGAGGUAUCCAUACUUGAUUCACAUGGUUUGACAUACAAAAAAAAUAUAUGAAUAAACAUCAGUAUUAUUAGAGAAAAAGAAAAAAUAAAUAAAGUUAAAUCAAUGGUUCAAUAAUGACUUUUAAUGCAAUUUCGAACAAACUCUGAUUAUGAUACAAACAAUUACAUAACUAAUAAUAAUGCAAUUAUUGUCAUAUGUUUUAAAAAAUGUAAUAGUGAACAAAUUGACUGUUAACAUAACAAGAAGUAAAUUUCUCUCUUAUCAUUCUGCUCCGAUUCUUAAAACUUUCCACCAAUAAUUUUUAAUGUAAAACAUGCAAGCCUGAACUCAUUUUGGUAGACAUGGGUUCAGACAGGGGCGGAGCUACAGCAGUGGGUGCAGGUUUAGGCGAACCUUGUUUUUUAUUAAAAUAUUUAUUAAAUUUAUAUAAAUAUAUACUGUCGAACCCAGUAACAAAAGGGGUCUUGAUUCAAUGGUAAGGACUGUGGGUUCGCUGGAAAAUAUGGGGUUCUAUUCCUGUUAAAAACAGUAUUUUAUUUUAAAAUUUAGAACCCACACACUUCAAAUCCUAACUCCGCCUCUGAUUUCAGUGUACUUCUCAAAUAUCAAAAUUGACGGAGAACUCCAAGUUUUAUUAACUAUUAUUUGACUCAUUAAUUGUCCAAGAAUAAAGAACAUUAAGUUCAUUUCUUUGGUGUUAGAUGUUCUUCGUUUUACUAGCCUCUUUCGUCUGUUUAGUACUUAACCAAUUAUCAAUUUGUUGUUUUGCUAGUCAACAGAAAAGUUAAGUAAACCAAAUCAAUAACAAAUAAUGAUUAAUCAAAACAAAGUCAGAUAGAACGAAAGCUUUAUUAAAUAAACGACUAUCGCUAAACUAAUUGAAAAACUAGUAUUGAUGUAAAGACUAUGAUUACAUGAUCUUUAUUCACUAACUACUAUGAAUAGAUAAAAAUCAAACUACUCAAUCAUUUUUAAUCACGGAUCUAUCACCAAUCAAGUGGUCUAUUUUUCCAUUAGGGUGCUCAAAACAAUCUGUCACAUCCAAGUGGGUGAUGUCAAAUUCAUUGUCAUAGACAAAAUUAGCUUCAGGGUCUUUAUUCUUUAGAGGUGCUUGAUAAAACUCAACCAAAUGUCUUGGUCAGUUUCUGAACCAUUUGCCUUGGCUUCUCAUCUUUCCCUUUCCACUUUUGGUGGUUAUUUUUCUUUGGGGGAUGAUUAAUACCAGAAAAUUUUCUUCCUUGUCCGCGGCCGCGGCCACGACCACGAAUAGGGUCACGACCUUUUUCACGCUUAGCAUAAUGGGAAUACACCUCAUCCACUUCAGGCAAUAGUGUAGACCCAAUAGGUCGAUUAUCGUGAUUUCUCUUGAGCAGGUCAUUGUUUCGUUGAGCCAUAAGGAAAGGAGAAAUCAACUCAAAAUACUUCUUGAAACCUUUCUCUCGGUACUGCUAUUGCAGGACCAUAUUGGAGGCAUGAAACGUUGUGAACGUUUUUUCAAGCAUAUGAUAGUUAGUUAUACUAUCUCCACAAAGUUUCCAUUUAGAAGUAAUUCUGAACAUCGCCGAAUUGUAUUAAGAAACAGACUUAUAGUCUUGGAGCCUCAGAUGAGCCAAUCAUAUCGUGCUUGUGGAAGUGUGACCAACUUUAAGUUGUCCUAUUUUUCCUUAAGACAUUUCACAAAAUAAGUGGAUCUUUGACGGUGUGAUAUUCUAUUUUCAACCCUUCAUCAAGGUGAUGGAGCAAGAAAAUCAAGGUCUUAGCACAAUCUUGGGUAGAUGCUUUAUUUUUAUCUUUAAUGGUGUCUCCAAGACCCAUUGCAUCUAAAUGGAUUUCAGCAUCCAACAACCACGACAUAUAGUUCUUGCCCGAAAUUUUAAGGGCAACAAACUUUCGUUUCAUAAUAUCAAACAUUAUUAAAAGAGUAGAAAAAUUAUACCUUAAGUCUUCUCAAAGAGUUUCUUGAGACGGUAGAGUCUCGUGCUGAUAACGUGAAAUAAAACAAUAAGGAAAGAAUAAUAUUGCAAGGAAAGAGAGGUAAUUCUUAAUGAAUUUCAGAUCAUUUACAAUGAGGUAAAGCCCAUCUAUUUAUGGGGGGAAAUGACUUAGCCACAAAGUAACAAACUCUCUAAAUGAUAGACAUUCACUCUAAGUACAAUUCUAUUCAUAACAACAAACCUGUUUUCAACUCAUUUUUACACCCAAAAAAAACUAUCCAUAAGAAAUAGUCUCCAAAUCCUAAACUAAAUAACAACGUAACUGAGAUCAAAUCAAAAUACAAACGAACUCCUCCAUAUUUCUUCUUCAAAAUUCCAGAUCUAUAUAGCACUGGUCAAUACAUUACUACUGGAUAUGGACAUUUCUUCAACUUCAAACCAACCUAAAAAUCUCAAUUCUAACUUCACUUUAACUGGUCAACAUAUAUAAUUUAAAAUAUUUCCAUGAUUACUACAUCAUGAACACUCAUGUUCAGAUUUAUACUAGUUCUAUAUGCUGAAAUUUCAGAUCCAGUUCUACUCGCAAACAAACAUGGCAGAUAAUAUUCAAUCAAACACAUAAAUGACUAAACUACUUUAAGGAACAUUUAUCAAACAUAUAGUCGACCCAUGAUUGCAAGUCUGAUGAUAUUAUAGCAUUUGAGUACUGUUAUAUCGAAGGAGAGUAUCCGUACCUUAACAACAGCCAAAGCAACAAGGAAGAAGGAAAAUAUAACUCCAAUUUUUUAAAAGUGCAGCUAGAAAUCAGAUUCAACCACAACUUGACAACACAACAACAAAUAGCAGAAAUAGAAACUGCACUGAACUUCAAUCCCAAAAAUAUGAGGCCAAAUAGCUGUAAUUGAAGCAAACUGAGAAGAAUUCCUUUUUUAUAUAGCUUUUUCUCAUAUUUUCUGAAAUUUUAACGCUGAAAUUCCAGAACUUUUGCGUGAAAAUGAGAGUAAAGAUGAGUGAAAGGAAAAUGUGUCUGAAAAUGCAGGAAUUAAUAUGUCCUAAAAUCUGUGGGAGGGGUGUCUUUUAUAGCAAAAUGAGAGAAUGAUCUGAAAAUAAUGACAACUCUAAAAAAUAGGGGAAAAGGCAUCUUUCUCUAACAGAUUUUGUAUAACUGUCCCUUUCAGAUGUUCCUCUUUUUCCUUCCAGCCCCCCCCCCCUGUAUUUUAAACCUUAAGUUCUCUUUUGACCUAAUUUCUAUUGUUUUAUUGCUUUUUGGCCCCAACUAAUCUCUUCUGGAACCUUUCCAACAAAUAAUAAAAAGAUUCAAUCAAAAUAUUUAAUUCUCCAAUUACCCUUUUAAGCCUUGUCAAGUACCCUUCAUUAUUUUAGUAUUUGCAAAUCACAGACUUCUUUUACUUGUAUUUACUUUUGUUACCUUUUAAACUCACCCAACCUCACACGUUUGGGCCUGGAUCAAGUGAUAUUAGCCCAAUGACACCUAUCAAUACAAGCCCGAAUUCCUCAAAGCCCAAACAAGAAUCAGGGAACAAAAAUAUGCAAGAGUUUUAGCUAAUUCGACCUUCAAUUAACAGAUGCAGACGAUAUACAAUCAUAGCUGAUUAAACAUGCAUUCAACUAAUCUAAAAAUCUUUAAAUUAUCCUAAACCAAAAAUCAAUUGAACUGAUCAUUUAACACUACAAGCAUAUGACAAACAUUAAGCAUGCUCAAGUAAAUAAAUCAAAAGAAAUUAGGGAUAAAAGCAAAGAAAUUACCGAUGGUGGUCCAACUGUCGGCAAAAGAAACCCGGACAACAACCAAUGCCGUGACAUGAACACUGGUUCAACGCACGAAAGCGGAACCGGUGCUACACAUAACGAUAUCGAUCAACUGGCCGGUAAAAAUCAAUUGAAGAGGUUGGAGGAAUUUGAACCCUAAAGGUCUGCUACCUUGAACGUUCCUUAUGUUCUUGGCUUAUGGUUCGGACGGCUAUGAAUGAGGGAGAGAGAAUGCGAGAAACUAUUUGAAGUUUUCAGAUGGGUCAAACAGAAAUUGACCAGCUCCCAGCGAACAUGAAAUCACAUUAAAACUAACACCAAUCGACAGCUUAUGUCAAAAUCCAUCGUUCGAUAUAAAUUUUAACGUGAAAAGGGGUCAGAAUCGGUCAAGAGAUGAAAAUGGGUGAUUUUGCAUUUUCGCCAAACCUACAUCUAGUAAUCGAAGAGAUCUAGUGUUCUUUUUGGAAAUCUUAUGACGGGAGGGGCAUGAGGAGGUGAUGGGGAGUAUGGGGUGAAAUUUUGGGAGGAUUUAGAGUGCGUCGCCAUCGUAGGCGAUUUCUGGCAGCGGCUCUGAGCGGAUAGUGAGAGAGAUGGAGAAAUGAAGGGGGGGUCUCAUAGGGUUUGGGGGGUAUGUUAGGACAAUUAUAAAGGAUUAGGGAU
rnacentral:lncRNA from 1 species